CUCAACCAAGAUUAUUGAUAACCUUAAAAUGAGAAAGAAUUACAAUUAGUACACACAAACUAACACUAAGAGGAAAUAUCACAAUUGUACCAAUUUCCCUAACCCCCUGCACACAGUGGAGUAUUUUGGUUAUAAACAUCAGGUGAUACUACCUUUCUAAAAUUCAUAUACUAGAUGGUAGAGUACCUAGUGCACAGUUUAAGUGUAUAGCACAUUACUUUGGGCACAACUUUGGUAUGUACUCUCCUAUGUGCUGUGCGCAGACCAACUAAUCAAUAAUGAGUUUCUUUGUCAAUGAUUUUCAUAAUUGAUUAUUAUCGAUUUUCUAGAUUUGUUGUAGCUUUAAUUUAAUUCAUAAGCAUGGAUAUAGUUUCUACUUGUUUGUCAUUUCUUUAAAAUGGCUCAGCCACUAGGGAGUGGAUGAAUUGUUGUCAGGUUUGCACAUCACUCUGUGAGUGUGUGUGUGUGUGUGUGUGUGUGUGUGUGUGUGUGUGUGUGUGUGUGUCCGUCCGAGUUUCUCAUUAGCACGAUAUCUCGUGAAUGAGGGGUUGUGUUUGUAGGAUUUAUAUGGAAAUGCAUUGUAACCAGCAGAUUACAUUUUGGGGAAGCACUAGACAGUCUGUACAAAAUUUUGUAUAGUUUUUUGUGAUUGUUGCAGCAAAAAAAGCUUGAUUUUGCUGUGGCUUUUUUCAAACUGCGCAAUGCAACUUGCAGAGAUUUUGCUGCUUUUUUUGAAAAAAAACUGCUUGAAUUGGCAACAUUGCAAUUGCACAAAACUGUCUUACACGGUCUUUCACGGUGAUGUUUGUGGGUAAAUGAGACCUUUUAGCUGUACUCAUGUUCGAUGCACAUGAAUUGUGAAGGGGUUUUCUGAAUGCACAUUGUGAUGACGUCACAUGAUGCAUCUUGGCCCAAAUCUGUGGUAAUCUUGUAAAAUUGCAAGCUCCUGCAAAUACUGUGGCGGUUCCUUGAUUUUUGUGUUCAUUUCUGUGAUCGCAAAAGCUCAAAAUCCUAAUUUUUUAUUUUUUUUUUCCAGCAUUGGGAAUUCCCAGGAAAAUAAGCACUUUCAGAGUAGUCAAAAAGCAAGAUUUUUACGUUCUACACAAAUAGCAUGUUUUCUACUACAGUGAUGUUAAACACUUUGUGCUUAGUAAAUAUUUAAUUAGGAAUCCUAUAAUCAUCAUGGUUCCUAAAUUCCAUUUUACUUCACUUAUCUCUACUACUCGUCUCUUCACUUCAUGGGGGUGAGCAUAGCAGACGAUUGAGCAGCUAAAUGUUGAGUUGGGACACUCUGAAAACAUAUACUUUUUUAUUAAGGGUUAUGAAAAUUGUAACCUAUCAUUUUGACUGUUUUCAGCAUGCGUAUAAAAAUGUAUGUUUAUACAUCACAAUUUUAAUUUAAUGUGUAUAUAAAAUAUUUUUAAACAAUGUUAAAUUCAUAUUCAAAUACUUUUCUUAGCUUUGAAAUUUCAUAACCUUUCACCUUUCUCCCUUAAAAUACAUACCAGACAAGGUCUACAUUACAUUACAAUUAUAAUAAUGACAACUGUUUCAUCAGUGUAAAAGAGCCGUAAGAAUGUUAGAAAGUUUGUAGUGUCAACAAAUUUUAGCUUUGUAUGUGUCCCUACAUCCGUAUAUAGGGGAUGCACCUUUAUUAAAGUACUUUUACAGCAACAGGACGCACCUAAGAUGAUUAUACGUCACCCAUGCGAACCAUCAAAAGGACUUCACCAGCCUUUGUUUGCACCCCUUGGUUCAAUGGGCAACUGGGAUGAACCGUAAAAGAGGGAAGCUAUAUCUGUGCAAGUUUACUCUCACAUUUGAUGGGAGUGAAUCUACAGACGGAUCAGCAUGGAAACUACAUGCAUGCAUGAAGACAAAAGACAACCAACAAGGACAACCCCUUCAAAGGCCACAUCGGCACUCAUUCACACGAGCCGCAUCCUUAUGUUCAUGACGAACUAAAAGUCUUCAAGUAAGACUCAGCAGGAAAAGAUAGUGUCCACUGUUAUUUCUUUAAAAGUUGAAUAAUUUGAAGCUGCAAACUGUUAGUUAAAAUCAGCAUUCUUUUAAACAAUGGGACCUUUGCACCUUUUGCAUGUGAUGUAACUGUAUGCGUACUAACACAGUCACUCAGUCAGUGAUUUCCGUUUAUGUUGUGGAAAAACAAAAUCCCUAUGGUUAUUCCCAUUAACGUUACUGUACUUGGAACUUAAUGUCAUUGGAAAUAUCUUUUAUCGUUUCUAUCGCUAGCCAUUCACCCUGUGCAAGUCUUUUUAAAGUCCCUGCCAUAUUUGUAUUCAAUUUUCUCCUUAUUUCACAUACCAGGAGAUAGGGCCACAUAUUUCUAGUGGUUAUCAUUUUAAUUUUUUUAAUAUUUUAUAAGCUCAGUGUGAAUGCGCACAUGGAUACUCAAGCUCUAGAGCAGACUGUGCGCAUCUGUGUGUGGACGCACGCUCUGCCUUAGAGCUUGUUGAGUGACUGUGUGUGCACUCCUUCCCACACAUGCACGCAUUCCUGUCCUCUCUCUCACACACAUGCAGCUCCUCUUUGUCUGUUCCUAUUUAGAAUUCGUUUCAUAGUUAAUUAUUUAUUCUUUUCUAUUUCAAUAAAUGCUAUAUUAUUGAA